GCUCAUAGUGUCUCGGCUCAGAGGAGGUUACUACGACAAGGAGAUAGGAGAGAGCUGGAGGAGAGCAGAGACAAUGGAAGAUCAGAAAUACAUAGUCUAUGUGCGAGUGAAUGGAUGGGGCCACAUCUGCUGUAGGAUCCCGUCUGACAGCAGCGGACUCUCUGGGGAGGCUAGUAAUGAUUGGGGCGUUGAUAGGUCUGGAUGAAAGGAAGCCCAUUCUCUGAUCCAGCCUAAGUAAUUUUGUUAAAACGGAGCAACUGGAGGGAGACGUUUAUGACUGAGUG